CACGGGGGGAGCAAGCGUUGUUCGGAAUCACUGGGCGUAAAGCGCGUGUAGGCGGCCUUUUAAGUCCGAUGUGAAAGCCCGGGGCUCACCCCCGGAAGUGCAUUGGAUACUGAUUGGCUGGAGUACCGGAGAGGAGGGUGGAAUUCCUGGUGUAGCGGUGAAAUGCGUAGAUAAUCAGGAGGAACACCUGUGGCGAAGGCGGCCCUCUGGACGGAUACUGACGCUGAGACGCGAAAGCGUGGGGAGCAAACAGG
rnacentral:rRNA from 1 species